GGGGAUGAACGGUUUCGACUUUGGUAGUCGAAAUGGGAGAAGCGAGCCGAGAAUGUUGGUCAUCUCGUAAACGUCCAGCAAAACCAAUAAGUGCCAAAUCAAACCGCACUGACUUCGCUCUCGCUGCUUAAUCGCACGAGCCCGAGUCCAUCAGCCUAGAGGCGUUCCUGCUCUAGACCCUGGUGUUAUUUAAGGAACUUACUAAGAGCUUCGGUUACGGAAGCUUGAAGGAAAUCAAACAGUAGCUGUGCCUGUCGACAUCUUGUUUGCAUGAAUGUCGGGGCAGAGAAAAACAAACGCAAACUGCGCUCGGAGAAUAACCAAAUCUUCACCUAAGGACCCGGGUUCGAUUCCCGGCAUCUCCACCA
rnacentral:tmRNA from 2 species